GCGACAGAGAAGCAUACGGCCAGGCCUCUCUCCAUACCGAGCCUUGCUGGACUCUCUACAGCUUGGUCCUGAUUCCCUCACGGUCCAUCUGAUCCAUGAGGUCACCAAGGUGUUGCUGGUGCUAGAGCUUCAGGGGCUUCAAAAGAACAUGACUCGGUUCAGGAUUGAUGAGCUGGAGCCUCGGCGACCCCGAUACCGUGUACCAGAUGUUUUGGUGGCUGAUCCACCAAUAGCCCGGCUUUCUGUCUCUGGUCGUGAUGAGAACAGUGUGGAGUUAACCAUGGCUGAGGGACCCUACAAGAUCAUCUUGACAGCACGGCCAUUCCGCCUUGACCUACUAGAGGACCGAAGUCUUUUGCUUAGUGUCAAUGCCCGAGGACUCUUGGAGUUUGAGCACCAGAGGGCCCCUAGGGUCUCCCCCUCGUCCCUGCCCCCUCUGGAUUGGAGCAGACAGCUCUCCUACCUUCCAGGCAAGGAUCAAAAGACCCAGCUGAGGGCAAUGGGGCCCAGCCUGAGGAAACACCCAGGGAUGGCGACAAGGCAAAGGAGACUCAGGGGAAGGCAGAGACAGAUGAGCCAGGAGCCUGGGAGGAGACAUUCAAAACUCACUCUGACAGCAAGCCGUAUGGCCCCAUGUCUGUGGGUUUGGACUUCUCUCUGCCAGGCAUGGAGCAUGUCUAUGGGAUCCCUGAGCAUGCAGAC
rnacentral:sRNA from 1 species